AGAGUUUGAUCCUGGCUCAGGAUGAACGCUGGCGGCAUGCCUAAUACAUGCAAGUCGAACGGAAGCAGAGGAGCCUGGCUUUUCUGCUUCAGUGGCGAACGGGUGAGUAACACGUAGGGAACCUGCCUUCUUUCGGGCGAUAACCCAGGGAGACCUGAGCUAAACGCCCAGUGCUUUCAAAGAGGCAUCUUUUUGAAAGGAAAAUGGCCAAGAGAAAUCUUAGCCAUGAAAGAAGAGGGCCCUGCGGUGCAUUAGCUGGUUGGUGAGGUGACAGCUCACCAAGGCGAUGAUGCAUAGCCGGCCUGAGAGGGUGCACGGCCACACUGGGACUGAGAGACGGCCCAGACUCCUGCGGGAGGCAGCAGUAGGGAAUCUUCGUCAAUGGGCGCAAGCCUGAACGAGCGAUGCCGCGUGGGUGAAGGAGCUUUUCGGAGUGUAAAGCCCUGUUGUGGAUGAAAAAGGACAAGAGCAGGAAAUGGCUUUAGUUUGAUGGAAGUCCACGAGGAAGUCACGGCUAACUACGUGCCAGCAGCCGCGGUAAUACGUAGGUGGCGAGCGUUAUCCGGAAUGAUUGGGCGUAAAGGGUGCGCAGGCGGCCUGUUAAGUCUGCAGUAAAAGGGCGAAGCUCAACUUUGCCAGGCUGUGGAAACUGGCAGGCUGGAGGCCAGCAGAGGACGGCGGAACUCCAUGUGUAGCGGUAAAAUGCAUAGAGAUAUGGAAGAACACCAGCGGCGAAGGCGGCCGUCUGGGCUGGAGCUGACGCUGAGGCACGAAAGCGUGGGGAGCAAACAGGAUUAGAUACCCUGGUAGUCCACGCCCUAAACGAUGAGGAGCCGGUGUUGGGAAGCGAAUCUCAGUGCCCAAGCCAA
rnacentral:rRNA from 1 species